UACGUAGGGUGCGAGCGUUAAUCGGAAUUACUGGGCGUAAAGCGUGCGCAGGCGGUUUUGUAAGACAGGCGUGAAAUCCCCCGGGCUCAACCUGGGAAUGGCGCUUGUGACUGCAAAGCUGGAGUGCGGCAGAGGGGGAUGGAAUUCCGCGGUGUAGCAGUGAAAUGCGUAGAUAUGCGGAGGAACACCGAUGGCGAAGGCAAUCCCCUGGGCCUGCACUGACGCUCAUGCACGAAAGCGUGGGGAGCAAACAGG
rnacentral:rRNA from 1 species